rnacentral:misc_RNA from 1 species
GUGAAUCAUCAAAUCUUUGAACGCAAAUUGCACUCCCUGGUAUUCCGGGGAGUAUGCCUGUUUGAGGGUCGCCAGAAUAAAAAAUCGAGGCGUCGCUCUUUUUUUUAAGGGUGAUUGCGUCGGAAUUGAGCCGCCUUUCAAAUGUUAAUUCAUGUCAAAGUGGCUUAAAAUUCAUUCUUCCGGUACGAUUAAAACGUAUUUAAGAUUAUUUUUGUUAAAGAACC